GUCUGAGAGCUGCUGCUACUUCGCCCACAACUACCAUGACUUUAAUCCCCGUCUUCAUCUGGACACUGAUCCUCUGGACUCAAGAAUGCAGAGGUCAAGUCACAGUAACUCAGACUCCUGCAGUGAAAUCUGUUCUUCCAGGAGAAACAGUCACCAUCAACUGUAAAACCAAUCCCCAAGUGUAUCAAGACUGGGGUUAUCAACCUUUACACUGGUAUCAGCAGAAACUUGGAGAAGCUCCGAAACUAUUGAUCAUAAAAGCAAAUAAGCUACAGUCAGGUUUUCCAGCUCGUUUCAGUGGCAGUGGAUCUGGAUCUGAUUUCACUCAGUGGAGUCCAGACUGAAGAUGCAGGAGAUUACUACUGUCACAGUUGGCACAACAUCAAUGGCUAUGUGUUCACACAGUGUUAUAAAGUCAUACAAAAACUUUCCUCAGUGAGAUAGUAGAGAGACUGUACUGCUGCAGCUGGGAGCGACUGUAGGUGCUCCCAGCGUACAAUGACACUCUGUGGAGUAGAAGAAGAACCACAUCACACUAACCCACAGAUCAAAUUAGAGAUCGCUUAAUAAUCUUCACCCCACACUGAACACAGUCCAUCACAUCCACUACUGAAAAAUAAAUAGAUUUACUUAUCAUAA